rnacentral:rRNA from 1 species
CCUACGGGAGGCAGCAGUGAGGAAUAUUGGUCAAUGGACGAGAGUCUGAACCAGCCAAGUAGCGUGCAGGAUGACGGCCCUAUGGGUUGUAAACUGCUUUUGUACGGGGAUAAAACGUUCUACGUGUGGGUGUCUGUAUGUACCAUACGAAUAAGGAUCGGCUAACUCCGUGCCAGCAGCCGCGGUAAUACGGAGGAUCCGAGCGUUAUCCGGAUUUAUUGGGUUUAAAGGGAGCGUAGGCGGUUGGUUAAGUUAGAUGUGAAAGUCUGAGGCUCAACCGUGGAAUUGCAGUUGAAACUGGCCGUCUUGAGUGCAGGUGAGGUAGGCGGAAUGCGUGGUGUAGCGGUGAAAUGCUUAGAGAUCACGAAGAACACCGAUUGCGAAGGCAGUUUACCGGGCUACGACUGACGCUGAGGCUCGAAAGUGUGGGUAUCAAACAGGAUUAGAUACCCUUGUAGUC